AAGAUAAGGCGGCUCGCGAACUUCGCGUUUCCUCUUUCGGCCGCGCUGGUGAACAGGACCCGUCGCCAUGGGCCGUGUGAUCCGUGGACAGAGGAAGGGCGCCGGGUCUGUGUUCCGCGCGCACGUGAAGCACCGUAAGGGCGCUGCGCGCCUGCGUGCCGUGGAUUUCGCUGAGCGGCACGGCUACAUCAAGGGCAUCGUCAAGGACAUCAUCCACGACCCGGGCCGCGGCGCUCCCCUCGCCAAGGUGGUCUUCCGGGAUCCGUACCGGUUUAAGAAGCGGACGGAGCUGUUCAUUGCCGCCGAGGGCAUUCACACGGGCCAGUUUGUGUAUUGCGGCAAGAAGGGUUAGCAUCGCGGCGGGGAAGGUCGGGGUGGGGAGGGGUCUGGGUGUUGCCGGAGGAGUUAACGUUCUAAGCCGAUACGGGAAGCUCGCAGGCAGAAGCUUCAGGUGGGGACAUCCGCUUGCCCAGACCAGUGGCCACGGUGGGCAUCGGUGGGUGCUGAGAGAGCUGUACCGGGGAGACUGGAUGUUGAAUGCUGUGCUCGCAACUUCGCGGGCUGCCUAGAGCGAGGGGGUUCGCAUUGCCUCUUACUGUGCUGACGGCCUGAUGCUGCUUCCCCUUGCAGCCCAGCUCAACAUUGGCAAUGUGCUCCCUGUGGGCACCAUGCCUGAGGGUACAAUCGUGUGCUGCCUGGAGGAGAAGCCUGGAGACCGUGGCAAGCUGGCCCGGGCAUCAGGGAACUAUGCCACCGUUAUCUCCCACAACCCUGAGACCAAGAAGACCCGUGUGAAGCUGCCCUCCGGCUCCAAGAAGGUUAUCUCCUCAGCCAACAGAGCUGUGGUUGGUGAGUAUCAGGCAGCAGUUGAAUGCUGAGGGUGAACAGGCUGUGAGCGCCGGUGGACAGCCAGUGGCUAGACUUGGUCCCUGGAAUUCGAUUACCUGUUCUAAAACUUGGGUUUUGUAAGUUUGAGCUCAUCCUGUAGUCUCAGUUGUCAUCA
rnacentral:sRNA from 1 species